CCCUUAGAUGUCCUGGGCCGCACGCGCGCUACACUGAUGCAUGCAACGAGUUUAUAACCUUGGCCUGAAAGGUCUGGGUAAUCUUUUGAACGAGCAUCGUGAUAGGGAUAGAUUAUUGCAAUUGUUAAUCUUGAACGAGGAAUUCCUAGUAAACGCGAGUCAUCAGCUCGCAUUGAUUACGUCCCUGCCCUUUGUACACACCGCCCGUCGCACCUACCGAUUGAAUGGUUCGGUGAAGAUCUCGGACUUCGAUAUUUAUUCUUUAUUGAGUUUAUAUUGUGGGAAGUUAUCUAAACCUCAUCAUUUAGAGGAAGGUGAAGUCGUAAC
rnacentral:rRNA from 1 species